CNUUCAAUUGAGGUUUUUGUGAUGAGGAAUGUGCAGAGGGACAUCAAAGGACUGAAGGUGGUAACUCCACUUUUCCGCUCAGGCAGGUUGAUGGAAGAGACAUAAAGAAAGAGACUGAGCUCCUGAGACAGAAUCCUCUGCGCAAUUUCCCUCCAAACAGCAUUCCUAGAUGACUACAGAGGCCUUUCUUACGCAUUGUAAAAUGGCUGCACAUAUGGAUCAGCUUUUGUCUCUAAAGCUUGAUCCAUUUCAAGUUAUUGCAUGGUUUGUGUUUGUCUUCAUGUCCUCUUAUUCCCUCAAAUCUUGAUGAACCAUAUUUGUAAUAUGCUCUCAAAAUUGUAAGACUGGUUUGUUGGUUUUCCGUUGUUGAAAUUCUUCAGUUCUUAAAA